CUGCGGCGCGCACUCUCGUUGCUGCUGCACGCCAGGACGCACCUCGCGCACGACCACGCGCGCUGCAGAUCGUGGGAGCCGGCGGAGAACACGACCAGUGACAGCGAGCCUGAUGCUCCCGCGGUCGCCGAGAAGGGCAUCAUUGAAAAGACUGAAAAGGAGCAGCUGAACUGGGCGGCGCGCGGCUGCUCGCUGGCCGGGCGCGCUGACAGCGUGCGGCGCGCCCUGCGCUCCCUCGUGCGCACCCUCGUGCACUUGUACCCGCAGCAAUCUGCAUCGCAGCAAGAAGCAGGAGGCUGGAACGA